UACGUAGGGUGCAAGGCGUUAAUCGGAAUUACUGGGCGUAAAGCGUGCGCAGGCGGUUUUGUAAGUCUGUCGUGAAAUCCCCGGGCUCAACCUGGGAAUGGCGAUGGAGACUGCAAGGCUAGAAUCUGGCAGAGGGGGUAGAUUCCGACGUGUGAGCAGUGAAAUGCGUAGAGAUGUGGAGGAACACCGGUGCGAAGGCGGCAUCGUGGACCAUA
rnacentral:rRNA from 1 species